GCGGGAGUAACUCAAUGGUAGAGUCCCUGCCUUCCAAGCAGGUGGUUGCGGGUUCGAGUCCCGUCUCCCGCU
rfam:Candidatus Riflebacteria bacterium GWC2_50_8 gwc2_scaffold_4204, whole genome shotgun sequence.